rnacentral:tRNA from 1 species
GCGGUUGUGGCGGAAUUGGUAGACGCGCAGCGUUGAGGUCGCUGUGCGCAUAUACGUUCGUGGAGGUUCAAGUCCUCUCGGCCGCACCA